CUCAGGAUGAACGCUAGCGGGAGGCCUAACACAUGCAAGCCGAGCGGUAGAGAUUCUUCGGAAUCUUGAGAGCGGCGUACGGGUGCGGAACACGUGUGCAACCUGCCUUUAUCAAGGGGAUAGCCUUUCGAAAGGAAGAUUAAUACCCUAUAAUAUAUGAUUCGGCAUCGGAUUAUAUUGAAAACUACGGUGGAUAAAGAUGGGCACGCGCAAGAUUAGCUAGUUGGUGAGGUAACGGCUCACCAAGGCGACGAUCUUUAGGGGGCCUGAGAGGGUGAUCCCCCACACUGGUACUGAGACACGGACCAGACUCCUACGGGAGGCAGCAGUGAGGAAUAUUGGACAAUGGGUGMAAGCCUGAUCCAGCCAUCCCGCGUGUAGGAAGACGGCCCUAUGGGUUGUAAACUACUUUUAUCUGGGGAUAAACCUACUUACGUGUAAGUAGCUGAAGGUACCAGAUGAAUAAGCACCGGCUAACUCCGUGCCAGCAGCCGCGGUAAUACGGAGGGUGCAAGCGUUAUCCGGAUUUAUUGGGUUUAAAGGGUCCGUAGGCGGACUGAUAAGUCAGUGGUGAAAUCCGACAGCUUAACUGUCGAACUGCCAUUGAUACUGUUAGUCUUGAGUAAGGUUGAAGUGGCUGGAAUAAGUAGUGUAGCGGUGAAAUGCAUAGAUAUUACUUAGAACACCAAUUGCGAAGGCAGGUCACUAAGUCUUAAC
rnacentral:rRNA from 1 species